CGCUCCGGCGGCAUAGUGGUUAAAGAGUCCGCCUCGGAUGCGGGAGGUCGUGGGUUCGAUCCCCGGCCGAGUGA